UUUUCUUCAUCCAAAUUUCAAUCAUCCAACUGUGCAUCCAUGGAUUGCUCCCAUACUUAUUUCUUUCUCUCUCUUCUUCUUCUUUUCUCCAUUCUCUGCAUCAAUCAUACCGCCAUGUGCGAUGGUAUGUGUUUUCUUGAUUAUACACCUUUCAUUUCUUGAUUUCACCCGACUUUUUCCAUCUGUCUUAUAUUUUUUUUUUAUUUUUUGAUCACACUAGUUUGUACUCUUAUUAUAUUUUUGUGUUCAUAUGUUCUGAUCAAGUGUUUUGCUUCAUGGGUCUUGGUGUAUUGCUCAUUUCAAGCUGCAAAUCAUAUCACAGUUGGGAUUAUGAUCUGGGUUUUUUUUUAAUUACCUUUUUAGUACUUCAUUAUGUAGUUUUAUGGGUUUAUGUGUGCCUACUGCCUAUGAUAUUUUAUUACCUUUUUAGUUAUGUAGAUUUGUGUGUGCCUACUGCCUAUGAUAUAAAUUACUAAAUUUAGGCUGCCAAAGUCGAUUAAUUAAUUGCAUUUUAGAUUAUGAGGAGGAGUAUAUAUUUCGUGCUGAUAAUAUCCGAAUGCAACUAAUAAUGAAUUAUACUGUUUAUGACCAAUUAAACAAAUGAAAUCAAGGAUAUUAGUUGUCAAAGUAAUCCGUGGCCAUGGGUGAACUUAAGGAUUUCAAUGUAAAGGGGCAAACUUAAUAUGAUGGCAUUUGAUUUCAACAAGAUUAAGAUUUGUUGGAUAGGGGUUUCAUGAUCCUAGGUGGAGGUACUUUGACCCCCCAACCUCUUAACUCAUGAAGUGAAAAAAAAAUUAUGGUGUUGACCACUACAUUUUGUAACAUGUUCUUUCUUAAUUCUAGUUAUAGGGUGAAUGUUAGUUUGAAUUCUUUUUGAAAGAUUUACUGUCUUUCUUUUUCAGAGCAAUGGUAUGUUUUAUAGUUUCUG
rnacentral:lncRNA from 1 species